rnacentral:rRNA from 1 species
GAUGAACGCUGGCGGCGUGCUUAACACAUGCAAGUCGAACGGAAAGGCCAGUGCUUGCACUGGUACUCGAGUGGCGAACGGGUGAGUAACACGUGGGUGAUCUGCCCUGCACUUCGGGAUAAGCCUGGGAAACUGGGUCUAAUACCGGAUAGGACAAUGGUUUGGAUGCCGUUGUGGAAAGUUUUUUCGGUGUGGGAUGAGCUCGCGGCCUAUCAGCUUGUUGGUGGGGUAAUGGCCUACCAAGGCGUCGACGGGUAGCCGGCCUGAGAGGGUGUACGGCCAAAUUGGGACUGAGAUACGGCCCAGACUCCUACGGGAGGCAGCAGUGGGGAAUAUUGCACAAUGGGCGCAAGCCUGAUGCAGCGACGCCGCGUGGGGGAUGAAGGCCUUCGGGUUGUAAACUCCUUUCGCUAGGGACGAAGCGUAUUUGUGACGGUACCUGGAGAAGAAGCACCGGCUAACUACGUG